GAGAAUCUGUGCACAAUGAAGGAGGAAGACUCAGAUGCACAUAAAAAUGGAGAGUUUUCAGAUUCCAGUGCUUCAAGUACAACUCUCUGUGAAAAUGAGAUGGUGUUUAAACUAAGAGAGGAGCUUGAAAGUAUCGAAACAAAACUACAACAAGCACAAUCCCACUGGAAAUGCCUGAACGAUGAAAAUAAUGCCCUGCAGCAGAAGUCAGCAGAGAUGGCAGCAGCCCAGGAGAAGUGUGAGAUGCUAGAGCGCAAAAUACAGCAGCAUGAAGAGAUAAUACUCAGCCUCAAAACCCAUAUGGACCAGAACAUGGUAGAGUGCAGCGAGGUAGAAAAGCACAGGAAAGCCAUUGAAAGGCAACACAGAUGUCAAGUAAUGGAAGAAAUAAACAUAGUAAAUCGAUUAUUACACGUGACUACAGUCAUCUGUCAUGUGCUGUAAUUAACUCCACCUCAAAUUUCAAUUUCAAUGUAUUGUGUUUAUGAUUGUAUGUGUUUCUUCUGUGUUU